AGUCCUUUCAGUGGGCGGUCUUCCUUUCUAGACCGAGGGGUAAUUCUGUCUUUCCGUGUCUGCUCCCAAAACGACGUCGUAGUGGCUGCAAAUAUAUUAUAUAUCCAUGCUCGCGAGAGGGCAUUAGAUGGUUCCAGAGUUCUCUUCCGUCAUUAUUAGCUGAAGGAGGAUUUGCGUCGGUGUCCAUGGUGGUUGCGAUCUCUGCCGGUUGAGCUCUUGGCUGGGGGGUUUUUGCGCUGUUUUCUCGACAGGUUCUCCGUUCCUAUUCUCUCUCUGAUUUAUCUGCCAACUGUUCGUUGUUAUUAGUUUUCCGGUGCAAAAAUGCACACGCAUGGGCGCGCACACACGCACAUACAGAAAGAGAAAGAGAGUGCUUGCUGGAUUCGUUUUUUAUUAUUGUUCUGGGUGUUUGGAUUUUGAUUUCUGGGUAUAAUUGAUCUAGAUUUCUGGACUCGGUCUGUUUUGGUGGAUUAUUAUAGAAUAGUAGAUAAAGUGUGAAAUUUUGGAAGUUGUUGGGACUUUGGACUCAGUAAUAAGGCUUCAUUGAUUCUGGGUUUAAUAGAUUUGGAUAUGGAUAUCUAUGCUCCGUAUGUUUUGGUGGAUUUGGGAGUUCUCUUAUAAAAUAAAUGUCAUUUGGCUCCCGUAGACUGCCGCAGCCGUUCUUAUCUUUGUGUAUGUGUAUAGUCGUCUUUCUCAUUUGGCAAUAUUUGCUGCUAAUAGGUGCUGUAAAGGUAUAUUUGGCAACACACUGUGAAAAUAGUAUGUAAUGUGUUUGACCUUGGUCUUCAUUACUUUGUUUUGUAUCGUAAAUGAAUGCAGUACUUUGUGGGUACAUGAUUCGUGCGUACAUGAUGGUGCUGAUGUUAUGUCCAUGGAUUUAAUUAACAUGCUAAAGCUAAUAAUAGCUCCAAUAUGCUCUCUGAUUCUGUGUUUCAUGCUUGCAUGGUUAUAGUUCUGUAGUGCUGUUAUUAUGCCGAUUCGUGGUCAGUUCAUCCGUUUGUUUUAGAAGGAUCGUGAAGGUUUUCCAAACAAUGGUCGCCACCACCUAGGCACCCACCCAGGCACUGGAGAAGGUUUAUGAUUUGGAAGGAUCACCUAAACCUAGAGUAGGAUAAUUUUGAUCUCUCCCUCACCCACAACAAUGGUUAUCCCCGUUAUCACCUGAAUCCUACUCCGCUUAGAUCAUUAUCAAGCACUACGAGAGGAUAAGGUGGAUGCGCUUGGCUUUAGACUGAUUGACUUAUACAAAGAUGGAAUUGGUGGCAAGUCUUUAGACCUAUUACUAGAGGUAGCCCCAUGCUUUCUACUCAUGACGUGUCUGUGAGUCUGGAAUAGAAUUCCGUAGAAAGAAAGAAGAAGAGGGGACCCUGCAAAUUUGAGGAGAAGAUGAAAAAGAAAGGGAAUAGAGGGCACCUCCUCAUCUACCUUUGUUUGCGCCCUAGAUUAGUAUUUCAACAAUAUAGGUGGGAUUACUUGCCAGUGUAUCUUUAUCGACGUCAAAUGUGGUAUAUUAGAUUACAGGUCAUGUGAGGAAGAUAGAAGAUCAUUUAGCAGAGCUUACACUAUUUGUGAUCUGGCUUCUCUGGUUUUUCACGUUCAGAUGUAUUGAAUUUGGGAAACGAUGUCAACUAGAUAUGCUUUUCCUAAUAAAAUUUUCUCCUAUUUGAUCUGUUCGCCGCUUUCUAUGGUUAGAUAUGGACGUCGUCCUUCUUCUUAAGUCAUUUGUUGAUUAAGCAUUGCUUAUUUAGUAUCAAAUGUUGUACAGAGAGAUUUGUUAAGACAAUUAUUGAUUUUUUGGACUGACAGCAUAUCUCAUAAGUAGGCGGGGAUGGGAAAGGGGAAAUCGACAAAUACUCGUAUGGCAUUGGCUAUUGAAAUUUCAUGCAUGGUGGAUAUUCAAGCCGUAAUGCUUGGUUUUCGAACGCUGGAAAGGAAAUCUCAAAUAGUACUAAAAAAUAGUUAGGCGCUAAAAAACUAUUGGCUGUCAAUCGACAAGGUGAUUGGCGUUAUAUUGGACAUGCUCAAGGGAUGUAUCAGUAUGUAAAAUCUUAAGGUAAAGGUAAGAACUGGUAUCAUUAAUAUGAAUAUAGUAGUAUUAUGGAUUCUGAACAUGGUAUUUUACUUUAUAAAUUUACAAUGUCCUCUUCAAUUGAUGCUGAUAACGUGCAAUAUUUACAGUGAGUUGCCGAAAUUUCAUAACUUGUGCUAGGAGGUGUUUUGAUAGAAGCUGAGUUUUGGGCGACAAGGAAGGAUGUACAGUAUGAAUCCCUUGAAUCAUUGUGUUAUCUGAAGCAUUUUGCUUCGAGGUAAAUGUGAACAGUCUGCAUUAAAACAUUGUGUCACAGUGUCAGUUCUAGCAUAGUGCAACUAAUAGAAGUGCAUCAAAUGUUUAUUCUCAGAAGCGAGUCCCCUUGGAAGUUGGAAGGUGAAGCCUCAGGUGUAUCCUCUAAACUGAAGUUACUUGAGCAGGAACUGCUGAAUUUGGAAAGAAUUGGGAAAAGUGAUCUAUCCAAGGUAUCGUCAAAGAUGCAGAAGCAAACAAGGAGAUAUCAAGCUCUUGCGGGGAAGAUCGAUAACUUAUGUAGAAGAAUGGUAAUGCAUAACAAGUUAGCAGUCUUCUUUUGCAGCUUUGUGCUUUUACAUAAAAUUUGGUUAGUCUUCUUUCACCCCCAAGCCUUUCACCCGAGUAGUUUAGUAAAUCUUUUCACUCUGUCACUGUACUGGUACAUACAAUUCACAUUUCAAUUAGCAUCGCAUCUAUUUUUUUGAACAGCUAAUUUUUUUCUUGUACGGUAAUUGUUUUCUUUGCCGGUCAAAAGAAAAUUGUUGUACAGUAAGUAGAAAUUAAUAGCAAGGAUUUUUGAAAGACGAGGAUGGCAUAUCAAUUGGUUCAUUAGAUUUUUGGGAUGUAGAAGAUUUUUAAGAAUGAUGUUGCACAUGGACCAGAGUUGUGAGGACUGGAAAUCAAACAUCCAAGUUGCAGAAAUUUGUAUUGAUCAAAAUACUUGAAACUCUAUUUUAUGCUGCUUUCAGCUGUUUUCAUUAUCAAGUAUGCGUAGUACAGGGCUGUGUGAGCAUUUAUCUUGAUAACGUGUUUGGCUUAUCAAAGGCAAAACUUAUUUUGCUGCUGUCACAAAUUGGCAAUUCAAAAAAUUUGCUAUGAUAGUGAGCCCUAUUUUCAUUAGAAUCUAUCAUUGUGGCCGAGUAAGUAAUAUAUGUUUUUGUUCUUAAGCACGUAUAGCUUGGUAAUUUUAUGGAGGCUGUAUUUCAUUUUUUGGAUUUUCUCAGGACUUUAGUUAGAUUCAUUUUUUGCCUCUUGUUCUUUGCGAGUUAAGAGCACUAUGUCGAAAGAGCAGAUUAACAUUUACCUUUCAAUGUACACACCUUAAACUUCCUCAAGCAUACAGUACAUCACAGGUACAAAAUUCACAGGCAUGAGAUUCUGCGUGCUAGCAUGUGCAGCUCACCUAGU